rnacentral:rRNA from 1 species
UACAGAGGUGGCAAGCGUUGUUCGGAAUCAUUGGGCGUAAAGCGCGUGUAGGCGGCUUGGCAAGUCGGUUGUGAAAGCCCGGGGCCCAACCCCGGAACUGCAUCCGAAACUGCCUGGCUAGAGUCCCGGAGAGGAAGGCAGAAUUCCCGGUGUAGCGGUGAAAUGCGCAGAUAUCGGGAGGAACACCAAUGGCGAAGGCAGCUCGCUGGGACGUUACUGACGCUGAGACGCGAAAGCGUGGGGAGCAAACAGG